UACAGAGGAUGCAAGCGUUAUCCGGAAUGAUUGGGCGUAAAGCGUCUGUAGGUGGCUUUUUAAGUCCGCCGUCAAAUCCCAGGGCUCAACUCUGGACAGGCGGUGGAAACUACCAAGCUGGAGUACGGUAGGGGCAGAGGGAAUUUCCGGUGGAGCGGUGAAAUGCGUAGAGAUCGGGAGGAACACCCGUGGCGAAGGCGGCCACCUGGGCCGACCCUGACGCUGAGGCGCGAAGGCGUGGGGAGCGAACGGG
rnacentral:rRNA from 1 species